rnacentral:rRNA from 1 species
CCCUUAGAUGUUCUGGGCCGCACGCGCGCUACACUGACGGAGUCAACGAGUUGUCCUGCAUCGGAAGGUGUGGGUAAUCUUUUGAAACUUCGUCGUGCUGGGGAUAGAUCUUUGCAAUUUUCGAUCUUGAACGAGGAAUUCCCAGUAAGCGCGAGUCAUCAGCUCGCGUUGAUUACGUCCCUGCCCUUUGUACACACCGCCCGUCGCUACUACCGAUUGGAUGGUUUAGUGAGACCCUCGGAUCGGUCCCGACUCGGGGUGGGCUUCUGCCCCGGUCGUGGUUUCGCCGAGAAGACGGUCAAACUUGACUAUCUAGAGGAAGUAAAAGUCGUAACA